CACAAAUAGACUAACAAACUCUAGUAAAAAUCAUGAGUACAUCAAUGCCUCUAAUGUUGUUGGGGCCCACAGGACACCAUUCGGUCUCGCCAGGGGCCUGCAUGCUAAAUCCCCUUGGAGGUGGUGGAGGUCUUCUAUUACCUAGCAGAUGAAGAUCAUUGCAGCGGCAAAAAGCAUGGAUCUAGUCAUAUCUUCACAACUACCGCACUUUACUGCAAUGUAAUCAGAGAUCCUUUGUACUCUCUCUCUCUUAUGACACCAUUUUCUUGCAACAAUCGCCCAAUAUGGUGGGCCCUGGCUUCUAGAGUUUGCUCGGCUACCCGACUUUGUUCUUGAAAUUGUCGCAAAUCAUUUUCUAGUUGUGCUAUUGAUGUAUAACAGUGUUCUUUUUCAGCCUUGAUGUCUUUCGCCUUCUUAACCAUUUUGUUUUCAACGGUGAUGACACUUUUCCUCAAUCCCACAAGCUCGUUAUCGUACUUUUCUUUCAAAUGUUCGAUCAGGAGUUCUCGUUCUUCCACAUUUUUUGCCAGUUUCCUUCAGGCCCUGGAUAGUUCACCCUCUGCUUUGUUCAAGUCAAUACCAUAUUCCCUUACCUUCCGCCUAAUAUUGUUUAUAAGCGUCUCAUCUUUUACACUUCUUGUGGGAUUUUAUGCCGCUAUUUUCAUUUUAUAAAUCUGGGCUCGAAGGGACUCAUUUUCCUCCGCUAAUGUUCUCUUUUCACCCUCGUCUGCCGAGGCUUGCAAACUAUUCUCGAACUGCAAGUCUUUGAUUACCUUUAGAGUUUUCCUAUUGUGGCCCUAUACUCGUUUUCUUGGCCAACCAGGCCUACUGCACAUGUGCUCCGUUGGUGAACUAUUGGACGUAGGGUCUCUUUGCGGGCCUCUCGAGCUCCUGAUGAAAUCGGGAUCUUUUACCAUACCAAGCAGGGUAACCAGGCUCCAACUGACCUCUAGAUAGAUCUCGUACUUGAGUUUUAGGCUCUAAGAAUCUGCACUGAUGCCAUCGCACAUUUUUUUCUGGAAAGGCAGAUUUUGGUUCUAUCUCAAUAACCUGCCGACUCAAAUCUUCAUCGUGCGGGAUGGUCUGGUAUUGUCCUAAUUUAACGUAAGACUCUUUGUGGAGCAUAAGGCUGGAUACUCCAAAGACCCAUCAAUAGCAGAAAACACUCCUCAGCCAACAUAUAGAUUACUUCACCAACCGAAAGCCACCCGAACGUCCAUUUGAUUUUGUUUGCAAUCAAGGAUCUGAAGUGGGCAUGCCAUGCUUUUGUACCCUAGGGGAACUCAUAACCCUCUACUCGUUUUUCAUGUUUUUU
rnacentral:lncRNA from 1 species